GUGCUUGUAGAUUAACGGAUAGAUCAUCAGUCUGAUAAGCUGAAGGCGAAGGUUCGAUCCCUUCCAAGCAUA
rnacentral:tRNA from 1 species